rnacentral:rRNA from 1 species
AGUGAACGCUGGCGGUAGGCCUAACACAUGCAAGUCGAACGGCAGCACAGGAGAGCUUGCUCUCUGGGUGGCGAGUGGCGGACGGGUGAGGAAUACAUCGGAAUCUACUUUUUCGUGGGGGAUAACGUAGGGAAACUUACGCUAAUACCGCAUACGACCUACGGGUGAAAGCAGGGGACCGUCGGGCCUUGCGCGAUUGAAUGAGCCGAUGUCGGAUUAGCUAGUUGGCGGGGUAAGGGCCCACCAAGGCGGCGAUCCGUAGCUGGUCUGAGAGGAUGAUCAGCCACACUGGAACUGAGACACGGUCCAGACUCCGACGGGAGGCAGCAGUGGGGAAUAUUGGACAAUGGGCGCAAGCCUGAUCCAGCCAUACCGCGUGGGUGAAGAAGGCCUUCGGGUUGUAAAGCCCUUUUGUUGGGAAAGAAAUCCAGCUGGCUAAUACCCGGUUGGGAUGACGGUACCCAAAGAAUAAGCACCGGCUAACUUCGUGCCAGCCGCCGCGGUAA